UACGUAGGAGACGAGCGUUGUCCGGAAUUACUGGGCGUAAAGCGCGUGUAGGCGGAUGAGCAAGUCUGCUGUGAAAGCUCCUGGCUUAACCGGGAGUGGUCGGUGGAAACUGCUCGUCUGGAGGACGGUAGAGGUAGGUAGAAUUCCCGGUGUAGUGGUGAAAUGCGUAGAUAUCGGGAGGAACACCAGUGGCGAAGGCGGCUUUCUGGCCUGUUCUUGACGCUGAGGCGCGAAAGCUAGGGGAGCGAACGGG
rnacentral:rRNA from 1 species